CAACGGUGAAACUCAAAGGAAUUGACGGGGGCCCGCACAAGCGGAGGAACAUGUGGUUUAAUUCGAUGAUACGCGAGGAACCUUACCCGGGCUUAAAUUGCAAAGGAAUGAUCUGGAAACAGGUCAGUCUUCGGACCUUUGUGAAGGUGCUGCAUGGUUGUCGUCAGCUCGUGCCGUGAGGUGUCGGCUUAAGUGCCAUAACGAGCGCAACCCUCGCCGCCAGUUACUAACAGU
rnacentral:rRNA from 1 species